CUUUGCAGAAGCCUGUAGGGUGUUCACCAACAAACUGUUUUUCCCUGUCAAAUCCCAGCAAAAGGACUAUGUUGUGUGUGCAAAUGGGAAGGAGAGAGAGUGAAAAAAGGUGUCCUGGGGAUUGGUUCCCAUCGGAGCUACAAACUGGAACUCUAAGGCCAGUCAGCCUGGGGCUGACACUGAGUCCCCGAGCUGUGAUUUCAAGUAGGAGGAGCAGGCAACCCCCACUGGGAGCGUCAGAAAUUGCCAGACCGUGCGGACACGUGAUCUGUGGACGGGGCGACAAAGAGGGUGGACGAAGGGGAGUGUAUUCGUCCCACCUACUUUUGCAGUGGAUUUACCAGGUGCGGAAAGUGGUGCCAGCCCUGGGAGCAGAGACUGGCUACAAAGUUUCUUCCGAGCC
rnacentral:lncRNA from 1 species